rnacentral:rRNA from 1 species
GUCUUGUAAUUGGAAUGAUGGUGACCUAAACCCUCACCAGAGUAACAAUUGGAGGGCAAGUCUGGUGCCAGCAGCCGCGGUAAUUCCAGCUCCAAUAGCGUAUAUUAAACUUGUUGCAGUUAAAAAGCUCGUAGUUGAAUUUCUGCGUUAUCGAGUUAUUGACUCUUGUCUUUAAUCGAUUUCGCUUUUGGGAUUUAUCCCUUUUUACUUUGAGAAAAUUAGAGUGUUUCAAGCAGACUUUUGUCUUGAAUACUUCAGCAUGGAAUAAUAGAGUAGGACUUUGGUUCUAUUUUGUUGGUUUUUGAACCUUAGUAAUGGUUAAUAGGAACGGUUGGGGGCAUUCGUAUUUAACUGUCAGAGGUGAAAUUCUUAGAUUUGUUAAAGAGCGAACUACUGCGAAAGCAUUUGCCAAGGACGUUUCC